GUUGAUUUGGCUCAGUGGAUAGAGCGUCAGUCUGUGGACUGACGGGUCCUGGGUUCGAUCCUGGUCAACG
rnacentral:tRNA from 1 species